rnacentral:rRNA from 1 species
AUUCACGCUUGCGGCGUGCCUCAUACAUGCAAGUCGAGCGAACAGACGAGGAGCUUGCUCCUCUGACGUUAGCGGCGGACGGGUGAGUAACACGUGGAUAACCUACCUAUAAGACUGGGAUAACUUCGGGAAACCGGAGCUAAUACCGGAUAAUAUAUUGAACCGCAUGGUUCAAUAGUGAAAGACGGUUUUGCUGUCACUUAUAGAUGGAUCCGCGCCGCAUUAGCUAGUUGGUAAGGUAACGGCUUACCAAGGCAACGAUGCGUAGCCGACCUGAGAGGGUGAUCGGCCACACUGGAACUGAGACACGGUCCAGACUCCUACGGGAGGCAGCAGUAGGGAAUCUUCCGCAAUGGGCGAAAGCCUGACGGAGCAACGCCGCGUGAGUGAUGAAGGUCUUCGGAUCGUAAAACUCUGUUAGUAGGGAAGAACAAAUGUGUAAGUAACUAUGCACGUCUUGACGGUACCUAAUCAGAAAGCCACGGCUAACUACGUG